AGAGUUUGAUUCUGGCUCAGGAUGAACGCUGGCGGCGCGCCUAACACAUGCAAGUCGAACGGCACCCCUCUCCGGAGGGAAGCGAGUGGCGAACGGCUGAGUAACACGUGGAGAACCUGCCCCCUCCCCCGGGAUAGCCGCCCGAAAGGACGGGUAAUACCGGAUACCCCGGGGUGCCGCAUGGCACCCCGGCUAAAGCCCCGACGGGAGGGGAUGGCUCCGCGGCCCAUCAGGUAGACGGCGGGGUGACGGCCCACCGUGCCGACAACGGGUAGCCGGGUUGAGAGACCGACCGGGCAGAUUGGGACUGAGACACGACCCAGCCUCCUACGGGAGGCAGCAGUGGGGAAUCUUGCGCAAUGGGGGGAACCCUGACGCAGCGACGCCGCGUGCGGGACGGAGGCCUUCGGGUCGUAAACCGCUUUCAGCAGGGAAGAGUCAAGACUGUACCUGCAGAAGAAGCCCCGGCUAACUACGUGCCAGCAGCCGCGGUAAUACGUAGGGGGCGAGCGUUAUCCGGAUUCAUUGGGCGUAAAGCGCGCGUAGGCGGCCCGGCAGGCCGGGGGUCGAAGCGGGGGGCUCAACCCCCCGAAGCCCCCGGAACCUCCGCGGCUUGGGUCCGGUAGGGGAGGGUGGAACACCCGGUGUAGCGGUGGAAUGCGCAGAUAUCGGGUGGAACACCGGUGGCGAAGGCGGCCCUCUGGGCCGAGACCGACGCUGAGGCGCGAAAGCUGGGGGAGCGAAAAGGAUUAGAUACCCUGGUAGUCCCAGCCGUAAACCCCCAUAAGGGGGGUGGGGGGACGAUCCCCCCCGUGCCGCAGCCAACGCAUUAUGCGUCCCGCCUGGGGGGUGCGGCCGCCCGGCUGGAUCUCUUGGGUGUUGUCGGGGGCCCGCGCCCGCUGCGGCGCGUGUGGCUUGUUUCGUUGCGGCGCGGGGUGCCUUCCCUGGGCUUGUCGUCUGGGUGGGGCGGGGGGGGCCCCGUGGCCGCGGGGGGCCCCUCCUGGUGGUGCGUGGCUGUUGUCUGCUCGUGUCGUGUGGUGUUGGGUUGUGUCCCGCGCCGCGCGCGGCCCCCGCCGCGUGUUGCCCUCGGGUGGUGCCGGGGGCCCCCGCGGGGCCGCCGCCGUCUUGGCGGGGGGGGGCGGGGGGGGCGUCUUGUCUUCUUGCCCCUUCUGCCCUGGGCUGCGCCCGUGCUGCUUUGGCCGGUGCUGGGGGGUGCCGCCCCGCGCGGGGGGGCGGGUCCCGGCCCGCCGGCCCCCGUUCGGUUUGGGGGGUGCGGCCCGCCCCC
rnacentral:rRNA from 1 species